AACGAAGUUUGAAAGAACCAGUGCCACGACUACUUUUCAAGAAAAUGAUUAAUUUGCCCGCCAUUGGAAAAGCCUCUUAAAAACCCUAUUGUUCCCAUCCGCUCUUAUCGUCUUAUUACAAUAUUAAGUCUCUUAAAAAAACCCGUUCCCUCUCUCUUCCUCAUUUAAAUUUCCUUCAGUCUUUGUCCAACCAACAAAAUCAAUUCAGUUCAACUCAGCUAGCUCUUCCUCCUCCGUUCGGUUCCCCAGACACAGUAAGAAAAAUCCCUAGAACUUUCUCUGUGUUUCUUGAAACAAAGUUUGAAUCCAACACAAUCCACUCUGGAUUCCUGAUUCUAGGGUUUUCGUUUCAGCAUCGACAUGUCCUGUGAGGACGAAGUUGUUAUGCGCGAUGUCGCCAAUGCGGGGCUUGUUGUCAGCGAUCGCAUUGGCGGUGAAGCUGCUGCUCAGCUCGACGUUGAAGAUGCCCUAGAAGCGUCUAGAUACGCUAGCCACCCCUAUUCUACUCACCCUAGAGAGCUAGUGAAACUGAGUGGUAUGGAAAUGGCACAUUAUGGUGCAGUGUGAUAAUAUUAUUUCAGUGGCUGCCUCUGGUUGAGGUGGUGGAUUCAUUGGACUUGCCUACAGCACUUGUUCAAAGAUAUAAUGCAGCUGGUGGAGAAGGAAAUGCUUUAUGUGGAAUAUUUCCGGAGAUACGGAGAGCAUGGGCAUCGGUUGAUAAUUCCUUGUUCCUUUGGCGUUUUGACAAAUGGGAUGGCCAAUGUCCUGAAUACACUAGAAAGGAACAAGUUAUUUGUGCGGUUGGUCUUGCCAAAUCUAGACCCGAAAUUUUUGUUGAAGCUAUCCAAUACCUUAUUAUUUUAGCAAUGCCAGUCGAGGAUUGUACCCAAUGACACUUCUUUUGGUUCUUUCUUUAGCUUAUGUCUCUUAUCCCUUGGAGGCAUUCUUCCACUAGUAGGUUUUCAGAAGAAUCCCAUUUAUUUGGGUGUGGAUGGUGGACAUGCUUUUAUGUGAAUUCCAAGUUUAAGUUACUAUAAUAUAAUUGACUGGUGCUACCCUCUAAACAUUUUGAAUGUUGAUGCUUAUUGGUGUAUGCCGUUCUGGAGGAGGUGAUGGUACAGAUCCUUAUGCAGAGAUUUCAAUGCAGCCUUUGCCAGAGUAUACAGUACCAUCAGAUGGAGUUACCAUGACUUGUAUAACAUGUACUGAUUAGGGGUGUAUUUUCCCGGCAGGCCGUGAUGGCCACAUCUAUGAGUUGCAUUACACAACUGGCUCAGGUUGGUACAAGCGCUGCCGUAAAGUAUGCCUCACUGUUGGUGUUGGAAAUGUGAUUUCAAGGUUUUUGUUAUGUGGCCAAGCGGAGAAGGUCCACUAAAGAAAGUGGCUGAAGAAAGGAAUAUUUUCAAUCAAUGGGAUACACAUUAUGGAGGUAGACAAUCAACAAGACCAAGAGCCUCGAAUCGAUCAACAAAGGCAUCCAUAGUCUGCAUUUCACCUUUAUCCAUUGUUGAAUCAAAGUGGUUGCACCUUGUUGCCGUCUUAUCAGAUGGAAGAAGGAUGUGUCUUUCCACUUCUCAUUCUAGUGGUAAUGGUGCAAGUGUUGGAGGUUUGAGGGGAUUUAACAGUCACCAGCAUAGACCAAGCUGUUUAAAAGUCAUGACAACUAGGCCUUCUCCUCCUUUGGGGUUGGUGGAGGGCUUGGAUUUGGAGCUAUAUCUCUUGCUGGGAGGAAUCAGAGUGAGGAUCUGUCAUUGAAGGUUGAAGCAGCAUAUUUCUCAGCUGGAACCUUAUCCUUUCUGAUUCAUCACCAUCAACUACGUCUUAUCUUCUUAUGGUAAGCAAGGACUCAAGCUCACAAUCAUCUUUGUCUGGUAGUUUGGGGACAAGUGCUAGGACUUCUCGAGCACUAAGCGAAACAGUGUCUUCGUUUCCUGUUGAAGGUCAAAUGCUAUCUGCGGCUGAUGUUUUACCUUUACCAGAACUUGAAUUUUAUGAACUUGAAAGCUUAGGGGAGUCCUAUGAAAAGGCAUCUGUAAAACUUUGGGCAAGAGGUGACCUUUCAACCCAACAUAUACUGCCAAGGGGGAGAAUUGUUGUUUUUAGCACCAUGGGCAUGAUGGAAGUACUUUUCAACAGGCCCAUCGAUAUUUUGAGGAGGUUGUUUGAAUUGAACGCAUCAAAAUAAAUCAUAGAAGAUCUUUUUAACUGUUUUGUAAUUGGCGAGGCAGCUUCAAUGUGCUUGAUGCUAGCUGCGAGGAUAGUUCAUUAUGAAAAUUUUAUAAGCAAUGCUGUUGUUGAAAAGGCUGCUGAGGCUUUUGAGGACCCAAGACUUGUUGGAAUGCCACAACUUGAAGGUAGUAAUGCAUUGGCAAACACUAGAACAGUAGCAGGGGGAUUCAGCAUAGGGCAGGUUGUUCAGGAAGUUGAGCCUGUAUUUUCUGGCGCACAUGAAGGGCUCUGUCUGUGCUCAUCAAGAUUGCUUUUCCCUAUUUGGGAACUUUCUAUAAUGGUCAUUCAUAUGAUACUAUGCCUCAAAAUGGGGUAGUUGUAUGCAGACUUUCUGUUGGGGCCAUGCAUUUCUUGGAAAACAAGAUUCGUUCAUUGGAGAAGUUCUUGAGGUGUAUAAGAAACCAGAGAAGAUGUCUUCAUGGCUGUAUAGUUGGUUUAGGGAACUUGACUGGCUCUAUUUUGUAUGGAACUGGUUCAAAUUUAGGUGUUGGUGACCAGAGUAUGGUUAGAAACUUAUUUGGUGCUUACCCAAGGAAUGUUGAGUCGAAUGGUGCUGGGACAUCAAAUAAAAGACAACGAUUACCAUAUACUUCCACUGAAUUGGCUGCAAUGGAGGUAAGGGCAAUGGAAUGUAUCAGGUAGUUGCUUCUUAGAUCUACUGAAGCUCUGUUUUUGCUUCAACUUCUUUCUCAGCAUUAUGUGGCUCACUUGGUUCAAGGUUUUAAUGCUAAUUUACAGUAGCAGUUAGUUCAACUGACAUUUUGUCAACUAGUUUGUUCUGAGGAGCGUGACUGCCUUGCCACAAGGCUUAUUUCUACCAUGAUGGAGUGUACAACUUCUUUUUAGAUCUUGCAUGUUCCACUUAAUAAGCUAGUUAGUAUUAUACUGGUCCAGAUGGCAGGGAACAGUUGACGAAAUUAGUGCAAGAUAACGAGAAGGAUGCCUGAGCUAUUUCAAGGAAUCUGAUUACAAGUUCUUUUUAACUGUGGAAUGUCUUGAAAAAGCUGUUAUAACUUCAGACUCUGAAGAGAAGGAAAAUCCUGCUAGAGAGGCCUUCAAUUUCUUAAGUAAAAUCCCAGAAUCUACAGAUUUACGAACUGUUUGCAAAUGCUUUGAAGACUUAAGAUUUUAUGAAGCUGUGGUUUGCUUACCUCUGAAAAGGCACAGGCUCUUGAUUCUGUAGGUGAUGCCUUUAAUGAUCAAGCCAAUGCAGCAACCAAGGAGUUUGCUCUUGCACAAUGUGAACAAUGCUAUGAGAUAAUCACAUGUGCUUCGCCAUCUCUAAAAGGUUCGGGCUGUGUCUAGAUUAACAUUAGCGACUUCCCUAAUGAGUUGAACUAUCCCAUCAAAUAGAGCUAAAUACUUUGAUCUUUUGGCACGAUAUUAUGUCUUGAAACGACAACAUCUACUUGUGGCUCAUGUUUUGCUAAGGCUUGCUGAAAGAAGAUCAACUGAUGCAAAGGAUGCUCCUACUCUUGAUUGGAGGAAGAAGCAAGUAAAAUCUCUUGGGUGUACACUGAUUCUUCAGGAAAUUCUGUCCGCGCAACUGCAACGCAGGGAGAGGAAUAUUUGUGCAGCCUGCUCACUCUUCAGGGCUCGGGUCUACGUGAAGAGGAAAAGAAGAGGAAGAAGGGCGACCUUGAAGGAGCAAAUCUGGAAUUCGACAGAAGGCAUUGAUGAUAAUAACAGAAAGCAGGAUAGUGAAGCGGAAGGCAGCAGUCCAAAAGCUGUGAGUGAUAAUGUUGGUAGCAAUAUUAGUAAACAGCCUAGGUGGACUCCAGGUGGCAGCAUUCCAGUGGCGGAGAGGAUAACAGACACGCAGCAAAAGAUUAGGAGUAUGCUGGAAGAGACAGAGGUUGUGAAUACAGGGGACGCUGAGUUGGCAUUUGGAGAUUGGUUGGGUGUCAGCAAGGAGUCCAGAAAUAAGGAGCUAAGAGAGGAAGCAAGGGGGGAGGGAAAAAGAAGGAAAUAGAGUAAGGGAGAGUCCCAACCUCUCGAAAGCUGGUGGGUGUAGGGUUUGGUUUGUGUUUUGCUUGAGGUAUCUGUUUGGUCUUUACGAUAGGAAGGUUAUUGUCUUAGUUUGAGUAUUACUUGUUGGUUAAAAUUCCAGUAGAGUUGUUUAUUUGUGAUGAUAUGAAUGAUAGAUGUACAAUGUAAUCAAACUCUUCUUUUAACGAAAUGAUUCAGUAAAAGUUCAUUGUUCU